UGCACAUGCGUGUUAUUUUUUAAAAGUCAUUACUACUCAUAGCGAAUUCGGUUAUCUGCACCGGAGCACUCUCGGAGUGCUCCAGAGCAGGAGUAGCAUGUUCGGUUUGACAAAUGUGCUCUAGUGCAGAUCGUUUGGAGUAUUCGCUUUAGCAGCACUGCUCCGGCGCAGAUCGUUUCGAGUAUUCGUUUUGGCAGCACUGCUCCGGCGCAGAUCGUUAUUUGUGUUCGAAUUAAGAAGUGUGCACUCUCAAGGAUCGAAAGGUGCAACAAAAUUUGCUCCCACAAUUUUGUUAGUGCAGUUUAAAAAAAUGUCAAGAGAAGCGGCAAAUUUAAAAAUUUCACUUCUAACAGAUUUAAUUGACACCUCUAGCGAUAGUAGUGAAGACGAAUUAUGUUUUUUAUAAUGAAUUUUGUAUUUAGAGAAAGACUAACAUUCAAUAUUUUAAUAUUUAAUAAAAACAGUAAAUAAUUUUCAA